UAACCUAAGAUGGUUCCUUCAGUAAUGACCAUUUUUUCUUUUUCAAGAUGAUGAUUAUUCCCCACCUUCUAAGAGACAAAGACCAAUGAGCCACCACAGCCACCAGUCCCAGAACCCGCCAAUGCUGGGGAACGGAAAAUGAGGGAGUUCAACUCUGGCCCUCACAAUCCAGUGGAGGAGACGAAACUCAUCUGCCUCUGUCCCUCUGGGCACGCCUCAUGCCAGGUGCAUCUGUGGACAGGGGCCAUGCUCCUGGGCUUCCAAAGUUGGAGAAAGCUGCCAGGCUCAGGUCUGAAGGCCAGAAUUCUACAGUAAGUCCUACUGAGUCAAGGUGGGAGCAGGGUCGGUGGCUUCCGAGGCUCUGCAGGAGAAUCCGUUUCCUGGCCGUAGAGGUGGCCUGCACUCCUCAGCUUGUGCUGCCCGUCUCGAAUGACUGGAGUUUCCUGCUUCUGUCACUACACCUCCCACCCUCUCCAUCACCUGCUCUGCUCUUACAAGGAUCCGAAGAAAUGGAAUCAUCGUAUCGCUGAUCUACAUAAACAAAUUGAAGAAUUGUCUGAAAGAAAAUAUGGUAUGUCUAAACUGGAAAAGUCCUGUAAUCUUAUGUUCAUGGGCGUUUACACAAUGGAGUUACUGUUCAUCAUGGGGGUACCGUGGACAAGCCCAGGGCUGCCGGUGAGUCAUGCCAUCCUUA